ACGGAGGGUGCAAGCGUUAUCCGGAUUCACUGGGUUUAAAGGGUGCGUAGGAGGGCAGGUAAGUCAGUGGUGAAAUCUCCAAGCUUAACUUGGAAACUGCCGUUGAUACUAUCUGUCUUGAAUACCGUGGAGGUGAGCGGAAUAUGUCAUGUAGCGGUGAAAUGCUUAGAUGUGACAUAGAACACCAAUUGCGAAGGCAGGUUACUACCAGUGGAUUGACGCUGAUGGACGAAAGCGUGGGUAGCGAACAGGA
rnacentral:rRNA from 1 species